UAGGAAGUUACAGAAGAAACAAGGAAGGAGGCAAUGCUUACCCUCCAUCUACUCCAUUUCCACUCCUACAUACCUGUUGAUGAUGCUUCUGGUGAGCAGUACUGUGAAUUGUGUGCUACUGAAAGAUAGCAGGCACAAUCAAGCAGUUGGCUAAAUGUACAGGUUUGAUUAUGUAUAUAUUUUCCAAUAUAUAUAUAUUCACCCAGCUUUCUGUCCCACAGCCUUUACUCUCUGCCAUGGCUCCAUGAUACUCUGUGCAGAAAGAUGCCUGUGUUCCUUUAUUCCUGGGAUGGAGGUGCAGCUGACACACCUUGGCAGUGCCUUAAACCACAGGGACCAAACUGGAUGAAGUGGCUUUUCCAUCUGCAGAAUUGGCCAGGAUGUGAAACACUCACUGCUGGAUCCCUCUCCUGUGUCUGGAUGGCCUGUUAGCUUCUCUCUGGUGAGUGAGGAUGAGCAUGUGCAGUUUUCCACGAGACCAAAUAUGCAAAGAACUUGGCAAAAAUCCCCCGGUCUGCAGCUCCAGCCUGAGCAAUGGUGGCAUUCAGUGUCUCUAAAGUUACUCAUUCAUUCACUGCAUGUGUGUGUGUGUGUGUGUGUGUGUGUGUGUGUGUGUGUGUGUCUGAACAAGCUCUUCUCUCCCUCUCCAACACUACUGCCCCUAGAACUUCUGUGAAUGACAGUCUGAGUGAAGUGGUCCCUUGCUGAGAUGCAAACAAUCUGCCAGCUGGCCUGCGGUUCCUGGGGCCUCUGGAGGCUUCUCCUGACACCUGGUCCCAUAUGGCAGAGCAUUCUUGGGGAUAUGAGCCAAGAGGGCCUCAGAAUAACAGAAACACAUUCCUAGCUUUGUGGCCAGACCCACAGGAGGCAGGGAGUAGGAUGGACAGCCUUGUUUGGGUGGUUAGAGAGGAGACAUUUUCACACACGUCCUCAUAACUUGGCUGUGGGAGCCAGCCCUAAUUUCUUUUUUCCUCUGAAUCCUGCGUUCUUUUUGAUUAAAGGAGGAGACAAAGGAGACUUUAUAAAUUCUCUUCCAGAGUCUGUGAUCAUACGAUUAUAAAAAUAAGCUUCUCACCGGGUUUUAGAAUUUCUACAGAUUCCUUCCUCAAAUCCACAUACCCUCCUUUCUGGCCUCCACUUUGUAAGUCUGUUUAUCUGUGAUGGACAAGAUCAAAUCCUGCCCCUUAUAUAAGGGUUCCCAAGAGAAAGUCAAUGAGUUCCCACACCUGUUAUCUCAUUUAUAUUGUUAUUUUGUCUCUUUCUCGCUGUUCUACUUGAGAUUGCUAACUCUUCGAUGAAAAUGACAGUGCCAUCUUUGCAUCCUUGGUAACAAGAAUGCCAGAGUACAUGGGAGUCGACUUGCAGUGAAUCUCACAGAGAGCUUAGUAAUUCAGAAUUCUAAGCCUUAUCCCUGGAGAUUCUGAUUCAGAGAUCUAGGGAUAGGAUCUCUCUUUAGAAAACAUUUGCAAAGCCUGAUUUGAGAGCUCCUGCCCU
rnacentral:lncRNA from 1 species